UACGUAGGGGGCGAGCGUUGUCCGGAUUCAUUGGGCGUAAAGAGCUCGUAGGCGGCUCGGUAAGUCGGGUGUGAAACCUCCAGGCUCAACCUGGAGAUGCCACUCGAUACUGCCAUGGCUGGAGUCCGGUAGGGGACCACGGAAUUCCUGGUGUAGCGGUGAAAUGCGCAGAUAUCAGGAGGAACACCGGUGGCGAAGGCGGUGGUCUGGGCCGGAACUGACGCUGAGGAGCGAAAGCGUGGGGAGCGAACAGG
rnacentral:rRNA from 1 species